UACAGAGGGGGCAAGCGUUAUUCGGAAUUAUUGGGCGUAAAGGGCGCGUAGGCGGUUCUUCAAGUCUCUCGUGAAAUCCCUCGGCUUAACUGAGGACGUGCGGGAGAUACUGAAGGGCUUGAGUCCGGAAGAGGGUGGUGGAAUUCCCAGUGUAGCGGUGAAAUGCGUAGAUAUUGGGAGGAACACCGGUGGCGAAGGCGGCCACCUGGGCCGGAACUGACGCUGAGGCGCGAAAGCCAGGGGAGCAAACGGG
rnacentral:rRNA from 1 species